rnacentral:rRNA from 1 species
GCAAGUCGAACGGUAACAGGAAGCAGCUUGCUGCUUUGCUGACGAGUGGCGGACGGGUGAGUAAUGUCUGGGAAACUGCCUGAUGGAGGGGGAUAACUACUGGAAACGGUGGCUAAUACCGCAUAACGUCGCAAGACCAAAGAGGGGGACCUUCGGGCCUCUUGCCAUCAGAUGUGCCCAGAUGGGAUUAGCUUGUUGGUGAGGUAACGGCUCACCAAGGCGACGAUCCCUAGCUGGUCUGAGAGGAUGACCAGCCACACUGGAACUGAGACACGGUCCAGACUCCUACGGGAGGCAGCAGUGGGGAAUAUUGCACAAUGGGCGCAAGCCUGAUGCAGCCAUGCCGCGUGUAUGAAGAAGGCCUUCGGGUUGUAAAGUACUUUCAGCGGGGAGGAAGGUGUUGUGGUUAAUAACCGCAGCAAUUGACGUUACCCGCAGAAGAAGCACCGGCUAACUCCGUGCCAGCAGCCGCGGUAAUACGGAGGGUGCAAGCGUUAAUCGGAAUUACUGGGCGUAAAGCGCACGCAGGCGGUCUGUCAAGUCGGAUGUGAAAUCCCCGGGCUCAACCUGGGAACUGCAUUCGAAACUGGCAGGCUUGAGUCUUGUAGAGGGGGGUAGAAUUCCAGGUGUAGCGGUGAAAUGCGUAGAGAUCUGGAGGAAUACCGGUGGCGAAGGCGGCCCCCUGGACAAAGACUGACGCUCAGGUGCGAAAGCGUGGGGAGCAAACAGGAUUAGAUACCCUGGUAGUCCACGCCGUAAACGAUGUCUACUUGGAGGUUGUGCCCUUGAGGCGUGGCUUCCGGAGCUAACGCGUUAAGUAGACCGCCUGGGGAGUACGGCCGCAAGGUUAAAACUCAAAUGAAUUGACGGGGGCCCGCACAAGCGGUGGAGCAUGUGGUUUAAUUCGAUGCAACGCGAAGAACCUUACCUGGUCUUGACAUCCACGGAAGUUUUCAGAGAUGAGAAUGUGCCUUCGGGAACCGUGAGACAGGUG